rnacentral:rRNA from 1 species
AUUGAACGCUGGCGGCAGGCCUAACACAUGCAAGUCGAGCGCGAGGCGGACGGGUGAGUGUUGUCUGGGAAACUCCCUGAUGGGGGGGGGUAACAACUGGAAACGGUAGCGAAUACCGCAUACCCUAAGAUGUGCCCCGAUGGGGUUAGCUAGUAGGUGGGGUAACGGCUCACCUCGGCGACGAUCCCUAGCUGGGCUGAGAGGAUGACCAGCCACACGGGAACUGAGACACGGUCCAGACUCCUACGGGAGGCAGCAGUGGGGAAUAUUGCACAAUGGGCGCAAGCCUGAUGCAGCCAUGCCGCGUGUGUGAAGAAGGCCUUCGGGUUGUAAAGCACUGUCAGCGGGGAGGCGUUACCCGCAGAAGAAGCACUGGCUAACUCCGUGCCAGCAGCCGCGGUAAUAC